rnacentral:rRNA from 4 species
GGGUUGUGAGGUUAAGCGACUAAGCGUACACGGUGGAUGCCCUGGCAGUCAGAGGCGAUGAAGGGCGUGCUAAUCUGCGAUAAGCGCCGGUAAGGUGAUAUGAACCGUUAUAACCGGCGAUACCCGAAUGGGGAAACCCAGUGUGAUUCGUCACACUAUCAUUAACUGAAUCCAUAGGUUAAUGAGGCGAACCGGGGGAACUGAAACAUCUAAGUACCCCGAGGAAAAGAAAUCAACCGAGAUUCCCCCAGUAGCGGCGAGCGAACGGGGAGGAGCCCAGAGCCUGAAUCAGCAUGUGUGUUAGUGGAAGCGUCUGGAAAGGCGCGCGAUACAGGGUGACAGCCCCGUACACAAAAGCGCAUGUGCUGUGAGCUCGAUGAGUAGGGCGGGACACGUGGUAUCCUGUCUGAAUAUGGGGGGACCAUCCUCCAAGGCUAAAUACUCCUGACUGACCGAUAGUGAACCAGUACCGUGAGGGAAAGGCGAAAAGAACCCCGGCGAGGGGAGUGAAAAAGAACCUGAAACCGUGUACGUACAAGCAGUGGGAGCCCCACCACUAAGCCAGUGGUGAACUCCACAUCCGCAUCCUUUGCUGAGGAUACGGUUAACGGAGCGAAAGCGACGUUCAACCGCAAAACAAGCAGAGGGGGCUUAG